AAGGAGCCACCAGAGAGGAAGUCCAUAGUGAGAUGGCAUGGUCAAUUCAUAACGGAUGGGUGCUUAUGCCAAGCUAAAAGAACGGGACGCCCCUCAGCUUCAGAAGAUGUGAUUGAACAAGUUCGAACUGCGUUUCAGCGGAGCCCCCGUAAUUCGAUCAGAUGAUCCAGUAUGGAACACACCAUGCGAUUUCUUUUUGUGGGGAUUUGUGCAAGGAUGGGUCUAUGUGCCCCCUAUUCCAAGAGACGUGGAUGAGCUGAAGGCACGAAAAGCAGAAGCUGUUGCAACCAUUGACAAUGCAAUGCUGGGACGCAUUCGGCAAGAAUUUGACUAUCGGCUUGAUGUGUGUGGUGUGACCAAUGGUGCUCACAUUGAACAUCUUUGAACAUUCCAUGUAAAAAUUGAGAUUACAAGCUUUCCGAAUUUACCAGAUGCGCUUUUAUAUCCUUAAUAGUACACCCUAUAUUCAAUGUCAAAAUGUGCCCAAGACUUUUGGAACACCCUGUAUUAAGCCACAAAGCAUUCAUUUUUGGAACAAGUUGGAAUUGGAAUGUGUUCAAUCAGCCUGCCAUGCAUGUUUUGGGGAUGUGGGAGGAAACCGGAGCACCUGGAGAAAACCCACGCAGGCCCGGGGAGAACAUACAAACUCCACACAGGAAGGCCAGCGCUGGAAUCGAACCCGGUACCUCUGCACCGUGAGGCCAACGACUCGACCACCGGGCCGCCGC